CCGUUAAAGGCUCCGGUGCUCGGCCGCAUUGGCAAGGGGGCUGGAAAGAGCCAUCAGGACUAUAGCAGAAGCUGCUAAGCAAGCCUCCAGAUGGUUAUGGAUCUGGAGGUGCGACUCAUGGAGAGAUGCUGCUGGGACACAAGCCCUGGCCUGACCAGCCCUAGCUGGGUAAUCUGGCUGAGAAUGUCUGAUAUUCAAAGACCUGAAACACCCGGUGACCACAGGUUACAUCACUGAUGAUGUGUCCCAGUGCAUCCUAGGAUGUAUGCCAGCAGCGUUACAUCCAUACACUUAUUGUUCACUUGCCCCUUCAUUGAAAUGCUCCCACAACCAAUGGACUCACUUUCAAGGACUCUUCAUCUCAUGUUCUUGAUAGUUGUUGCUUAUUUAUUAUUAUUACUAUUUCUUUCUUUUUGUAUUUGCAUAGUUUGUUGUUUUCCAUACCAUGAAUACCCAAAUAGGGCAGUAUUUCAUUGAUUCUGUUAUGGUUAUUAUUUUAUAGAUUUAUUGAGUAUGCCUACAAGAAAAUGAAUCUGAGGAUUGUUAUGGCGAUGUAUAUGUAUUUUCAUAAUAACAAUUACUUUGAACCUUUAAAUUUCCUUUAAUACCAUCACCCCUCAAAACUAAUCAGUGAACGUCAAGACCUGGACCUCGAUAACCCCUUGUACAAUUGGAUCCUAGAUUUCCCCACUUGGGAACCCCAGUCAACUUGGAUCGCUAAAAACACCUACUCCACAAUUUCCAUCAGCUCAGGUGCACCACAAGGCUGUGUGCUUAGCCCCCUGCUCUACUUGCUUUACACUUAUGACUGUGUGGCCAAGCACAGCUCCAACACUGCAUACAAGUUUGAUGCAGCCAAUCAGAAUGCACUCCACAGUACAGUUUUGAGUAUUUUAGUUGACCAACUAAACCUCCCCAAACUCCUAAUGAAAUAUAGCUGCUACCUUGCCUUCUUUAAUAUGUUGUGUCCAGAUUAGGUCCUCAAAGAUGUUGACACCCAGGAACUUGAAAUUGUUCACGUUCUCCACUUCUGAUCCCCCUAUGAGGAUUGGUUUGUGUUCCCUUGUCUUACCCUUUCUGAAAUCCACAAUCAGCUCUUUGGUCUUAAUGACAUUGAGUAUGAGGUUGCUGCUGCGACACCACUCCACUAACUGGUAAAUACCGCUUCUGUAUGCCCUUACAUUACCAUCUGAAAUUUUGCCAGCAAUGGCUGUAUCAUCAGCAAAUUUAUGGAGAGAUUUGAGCAAUGCCUAGUCACACAGUCAUGAGCGUAGAGAGAGUAAAGCAGCGGGCUAAGCAGACACCCCUGUGGUGCCCCAGAGUUGAUAGUCAGCGAGUUGGAGAUGCUCUUGUUAUUUAUUACUGCUUUGUUUUAUUUAUAUCUGUACAGUUUGCUGUUCAUUGAUCCUGUUCACAGUUACUGUUCUAUCGAUUUGCUAAGUAUGCCUGCAAGAAAAAGAAUUUCUGGGUUGUAUGUGGUGACAUGUAUGUACUCUGAUAGUAAAUUUUACUUUGAACUUUUAUUAUUAUGUAUUACAAUGCACUUUACCUAUUGUCUGCCAGCUUGUGCUCCUUACCCCUCUCCCCACCCUAUUUUCUGGUUUAUGCCCUCUUCCUUUCCAGUCCUGAUGCAGAGUCACGGCCCGAAAUGUCAACUGUUUUAUUUCCCUCCGUAGAUGCUGUCUGACCCACUGAGUUCCUUGAACAUUUGUUGCAUUUGCAGAGCCCGCAGCAUUGUCAAGGGACCCCUCCCACCCAUCCCACAAUCUCGCUGACCUCCUGUUGAGCAGUAUGAGAACAAGGACUGUUAGGCUGGGUAACAGCUUCUUCCCCCAGGCUGUGGGACUUCCAAACACCCUGCUACCACCCAGUACACAUUAUUUAUGAUAACAGCAGUAGCUUUAUACUGUUGUACAUUUAACUAAGGUCCUAUAUGCACUUUAUGCCAACUUGUACGUCUACAGAUUUUUAACAUUUUUUGUUAAUAUUAUUUUAUGUGUUAUAUGUAUUAUAUUGGGUGGUGGGAUGGAGGUACAUCUUUACUAAAGGAGGUGUAAGGUGCUCCUUCUGUCCACUAGCCAGCAGGUCACCCUUGGGCAAGGUGUAGCACCUGCUCAGCCCCCCAGUCAGGGUCACGUGAAGCCAUGGGAGCAGGUGGUGGAUGGUCAUAUGAGCAGCCGGUGCAGAUCACAAGUCCUGGUUAUGUGACCACUGACACCUGGCAGACAAUCUCUGAAGAGUAUUGAUAAUGGCUGGGGUCACUGGUCUUGUAAAGACACUGUCCAGAAGAAGGCAAUGGCAAACCACCUCUGUAGAAAAACUUGCCAGGAACUAUCACGGUCAUGGAAAGACCAUGAUUGCCCAUGUCAUAACGAAUGAAUGAUAUAUUUUAUGUACUGUGUUUUGCACUCUGCUCCCUGACAAAAGCUGUUUCGUUUAGCUGUAUACCUGUGUGUGUGGUUAAACGAUAAAAAAAAUUGAAGAAUAUUUUGUGUGUGUAAUAAGAAGAAGAAAUUUAUAUGUGUGUGGUGUCUCUCAUCACCUCAUUCCACUGAAAUCUAUCCAUGUAGUCUCAGCUUUUCCAGCUGUCUUAGACUGUGAAAGCUAAACACUGCAGGAGGUGAAGUCUAGAAACACUUGAUGCUGCAAAUGCUUAUCAGAUCAGAAAGAGAUAAAUAGAGUUAUUGUUCCAAGUGAGUUACUCUUUAUCAGAACAGGUUCAGACAUUUGGAAAAGCAGGGAUUGAUUAGAAAUACUGUAGUCAGCAUGGCUUUGAUCAUUAGAAAUUUGACUGAGUUUUCCUGGAGAUGCCGAGGAGGAUUAUGAGGGGAAGGUGGUAGGCGUUGUCUGUAUAGAAUUCAGCAAAGACUUUUGAUAAGAGCCCACAUGGUAAACUAGACUGGAAGGUUAGAUCACAAGGAAUGCAUGGUGAACUAGUCAAUAGGAUCCAAACUUGACUUGGAUGAAGGAAUCAGACAUGUGUCAGUGAUAGUAAACUGAUUACGAUUAUGGUUUUGGGUGAGCAGGGAAAAAUUAAAAGGGACCUAAGGGGCACCUUUUUCACUUGGAUGGUAAUAUAUUGAAAGGUAGAAGUGGAGGGUGGUUAUGCUGGAGGCCUGUGACUAGUGUUGAGCCGCAGGGAUCGGUGUUAGGCUCACUGUUGUUUGUCAUUAAUGUUAACAAUUUGGAUGACAUUGCUGCUAAAACAGUAAAUUUGCAGAUGACAUCAAAAUUGGCGGUGUACAUUGAAGAUGGUUAUCUAAGAUUACAAUAGAGCCUAGAUAAAUUUGGGGAAAUAGGCCAAGGAAUGGCAGAUGGAAUUUAACUCAGUAACUCAGACAAGUGCAAGAUUUUGCACUUUGGUCAGCAAUACCAGGGCAAGGCUUAAACAGUAACCGGUAGAGCUCGGGAGACUGUUAAAGAACAGAGAAACCUGGGGGUACAGAUACAUAGUCCCUGAAAGUGGUGAAGCAGAUGGACAGAGGAAUGAUGAAGGCAUCUGCCUUUGUCAGUAAUAUUGCUGUGAGUACAGGAGGUAAAAAUUAUGUUGCAGCGUACAAAGCUUGGAGCAUUGUGUGUGGUUCCAGUUGCCCAGUUAUAGGAAGGAUGACAUUGAGCUGGAAAGGGACCAAAAAGGAUUCACAAGGUUGUUAGCAGGACUGGAGGGCUUCAGUUAUAAGGGAAAAACUGGAUAGGCUGGGACUGUUUUACUUUACUUUUUUUUGUCACCAAACAAUUGAUACUAGAGCGUACAAUCAUCACAGUGAUACUUGUUUCUGCGCUUCGCGCUCCCUGAAGUACAAAUCGAAGUAAAUAUAAUAAAAAUUUUAAAUUUUUAAUUAUAAAUCAUAAUUAGAAAAUAGAAAAGGGGAAGUAAGGUAGUGUAAGUCAGGUCCAGACAUUUGGAAGGUACGGCCCAGAUCCGGGUCAGGAUCUGUUCAGCAGUCUUAUCACAGUUGGAAAGAAACUGUACCCAAAUCUGGCCGUACAAGUCUUCAUGCUCCUGAACCUUCUUCCGGAGAGAAGUGGGACAAUAAGUGUGUUUUCCCAGGAGCACUGGAAAUUGUGAGGUGGCCUCAUUUUUUGAGGAUGUAUAAAAUUGAGAGGGUGGAGAUAAGAUACGUAAGGCAAGGAAUAAAAUAUGAUUCACUAUUUUGUUUCCUGGGGUAGGGGAGAGGGGAUAGGUUGCAUCAAAGGCACUAGCCUCCCCACCGAGGACAUCUUCAAAAAGCAAUGUCUGAUGAGGCAGCAUCCAUCAUUACAGACCCCCGCCACCAGGUCAUGCCCUCUUCUCAUUGCUACCAUCAGGGAGGAGGUAGAGGGGCUUGAAGACCCACACUCACUGAUUCAGGAACAGCUUCGUCCCCUCCACCAUCAGAUUUAUGAGUGGACCAUGAACAUGACCUCACUCUUUGCUGUCUUUUUGAGCUACUUAUUUAUUUUAUUUAUAUUUUUCUUAUUGUAUCUUGUAGUAUUUUUUUAUGCAUUGCACUGUGCUACUGCCAAUAAACAAUAAAUUUCACAACAUACUGAUGUUGUCCUGAUGAAAGGUCUCUGCCUAAUAUGUCAACUGUUCAUUCCCCUCCAUAGAUGCUGCCUGACCUGCUGAGCUCCUCCAGCACAUUGUGUGUAUUACUCUAGAUUUCCAGCAUCUGCAGUACCUUUUGUGUCACAACAUAUUGUAUGUCAGUGAUAAUAAACCUGAUUCUGCUUCUGAUUAUGAUUUAGGGUGAGAGGGGAAAAGAAUUAUGGGCAAAAUUUUUAACUCAGGUAAUAUAUAGAAUGAGGUGCCAGAGACAGCUUAGACAUUAAGAAAUGGGUGCAAUUAUAAUGUUUAAAAGACAUUAAAAGGUACAUGGAUAGAAAAGGCCUAGGCUCUCAUUUGCCUCUAUUUGACCCACAUACAUAGAGCUAUAUGGGUCAAAUAGAGGCAAACGGGACAAGCUUCGACAGACAUUUUGGUUAGUAUGGAUGGCCUAGGCCGGAAGGCCUGCUUCCAUGCUGAUUGACUCUACGAUGACAACAACAAAUAUUGUGUCGGCAGAUGGGAUUAGAGUAGUUGGGUAUUUGAUUACUAAUUUAAGUUAGUUCAGCACAACAUUGUGGGCUGAGUGGCCUAUUUCUGUGCUGGAGGAACUCAGCAAUUUGGGCAGCAUCUGUGGAUGGGGGAGGGAAUGAUCGAUGUUUUGGACCAAGUCUGCUUCAGGUGUACAGUGGAGAGGUGGAGUGAUGAAACAGGUUAGUGAGUCCCUGGAGAGAGAUCCAGAGAGAGGUGGAUGAUAGAUGGAAGCAGAAUUUACCAUGGGCAUUAUGACAAAUACAUUGAAAUAAACAAAAGGUAAGACAUUGAAAACUUAAUCGUUUUCCUUUUUCUCUUUUAGUAUUCAUAAGUAUAGGGGAAUGGGCAGAAAUACAUACUUUCAGUUGUAGAUUCAAGAUUCAAGUUUAUUUAUCACAUGUAUAUUGAAAGAUACAGUUAAAUGCAUCAUUUGCGUUAAAAGCCAACACAUCCGAGGGUGUGCUGGGGGCAGCCCACAAGUAUAGCUACACAUUUAGGCACCAACGUAGCAUGUCCACAAUGUUCAGCAGGACAACACGAAACAGAACAAGCAACAAACAACUAAAGCAAAUGCAAGCCCCAUUCCUCCUUCCAACCAACCAACCAACCUACCUACACAGUCCUACAACCCCAAGACAAACAUCCAAUCUCCAGCCUCUAACAGACACUGACUCAGUCCUGCAGACAUGGAACUCUGACCUCCCUGGUGCACUUACAGAUUCGCAGACUCGGCUCCGGCCAGAGGGCCUUGACUCCUGAACUUCCGAUCUGGCUCUUGUGCCUCGAUCCUCGGCAUCGAUCCCAAGGCAAAUGUGCAAUGAGAAAGAAUUCUGAUUGCAACCUGUAAUAGAGGUAUCGGUGGCUGAAGACAAAUGAGGGAAAAUCUGCAGAUGCUGGAAAUCCGAGCAACACACAUAAAAUGCUGGAGGAACCCAGCAGGCCAGGCAGAGUCUAUGGAAAAGAAUAACAGUCGACGUUUUGGGCCGAGACCCUUCAGCUGGACCACUUCGCCGAACACUGUGUUCUGAGUGCCAGACGGAACAUGAAGUGUUGUUCCUCCAACCUGAGAGUGGCCCCAUCACAGCAGUAGAGGAAGACAUAUUGGAAUGGGGAUGGAAAGUAGAAUUAAAAUGGGUAGCCACUGGGAGAUCCUGCUUCUUCUGGAGGACGGAGCGUAGGCGCUCAACGAAGCUGAAGGCAAACUAUGCAAACACAUGAAAAGCAUAUAAUAAUAAUAAAUAAACAAGUAAUAUAUAAUAUUAAGAACAUGAGUAGUAGAGUCAUUGAAAGUGAGUUCAUAGGUUGUGAAUCAGUUCAGUAUUAAGGUGAGUGAAGUUAUCCACACUAGUUCAGGAGCCUGAUGGUUGAAGGGUGUUCCUGAACCUGGUGCUGUGGGACCUAAGAUGAGACCAGGUGAGAAGGAAGGUGGGAGGGUGGGGAUGAAAUAAGAAGCUGAGAGGUGAUAGGUGGAAGAGAUAAAGGGCCGAAGAAGAAGAAAUAUGAUAGGAGAGGACAGUAGACCAUGGAAGAAGGGAAGGAGGAUCAUCUUUUUUUCACUGCUAAUCAGUUUAAUAAAGCUAAACAUCCCCUCAUUUCCAAUUUCACUUUGGGCUUGUUAAUUUAAGACUGUCACUUUCAUUUUUAAUCUCUUUAACCAACUUAAAGAUGUUAUUUCAACCUACAUGGAAUAUAGCCAGCAGGAUUGCCGUGACCUAGAAUAAUCAACCACACCCACGAGUUCAAGGCUCUCUUUCUACAAUAGAAUUAUUUUUCCAAUCCUUUUAAAACCUAACUACAGAAAUUAUACUAGAUUUGCAUAGUUACUGGAAUUCUCUGUCCCUGUAUUAGCCUAAUUAAUUCAUUCAUUCACAUGUGAUGAGAAUGCUCCUUUGAGAUUAGAGAAAAUAUAUUUGCAUUUACUGAGAGAGAAGGAAGGCAUUGUAACAUUUUCCUUGGCUUCAAAGAUAAUUUUUAAUAGAUGUUCAACCCUACGUAUGAGAUUAUCUUCCUGCAUUCCAUAAUUUUCUAUUAAUUUUAUCCUGUAUCAGUUCUCUGCAAAAGCCAUUACUCUUUAAAUUUAAUCGAGCUUCAAUUCACACACUGACAAAAGCAAUGAAGUAUCACAAUAAUGUUCAAUUUAAUUCCCAUACAAUUGUCUCUUUUAAAUCAUAAGUUACUUUUGAUACAAUGUUGUAACCGGUUAUUCAUUAUAUACUCAGUGGUCAGCUUAUUUGCUACUCGUACAUUAAUGCAAAUAUCUCAUCAGCCAAUCACGUGGCAGCAACUCAAUGCUUAAAAUCAUGCCGACAUGGUCAGGAGGUUCAGUUGUUGUUCAAAGCAAACAUCAGAAUGGGGAAGAAAUGUGAUCUAAGUGACUUUGACCAUAGAAAGAUUGUUGGUGCCAGAUGGGGUGGUUUGAGUAUCUCAGAAAUUGCUGAUCUCCUGUGAUUUUCAUGCACAGCAGUCGCUAGAGUUUACAGAGGAUGGUGUGAAAAGCAAAAAAAACAUCCAGUGAGUGGCAGUUCUGUGUGCGAAAAUGACUUGCUAAUGACAGAAUUCAGAGGAGGAUUGCCAGACUGGUUCAAGUUGAUGCUAAGACGACAGUAACUCAAAUAACCAUGCAUUAUAACAGUGGUGUGCAGAAGGACAUCUCUGGACGCACAAUAUGUUGAACCGUGAAGUGGAUGGCUACAACAGCAGAAGACCAUGAACAUAUACUCAACGGCCACUUUAUUAGGUACAGGACAGACCUAAUAAAGUGUCCACCGAGUGUAUUUGUAUACAUACUCCAUAAUAUCAUCUAACUAUAAUGAACAAUGGUUAAUAUUUGGAACUGUGAACUUAACUCUUGCUGGGUUUACUCAUUCUUGUUCUUAUUUUGUUAAUUUCACAGUUGUUCCACUAAUGUUAGCAUAAUUAUAGUAGAGAAAUGGGAACACAAAGUAGGGGUAUUAUUUUCUUAUCACUGUUCAAAUGCCUGUAUAUUUAAAUGCUAAAUGUGUCUUGUAGCUGAUAAAACAUAACAGCUUCUAGUUAUCUUGUGUAGAUAUUUUUAAAAGUAACACACACACAAAAUGCUGGAGGAACUCAGCAGGUCAGGCAGCAUCAGUGGAGUGGAAUAAAGAGUUUGGGUUGAGACUGGAAAGGCAGAGGGAAGAAGCAAGAAGGUGCAAGUCUGGGUGAGGACAUGUUUGAAGAGUCAGAGGGCAGCAGAGAUCACAGGAGAGGAGCAGUGAGAGAGGGUCUCACAGAACUCCCGUCCAAGAGAAGAUUUUAACUUUUUCAGGGUAGGCCUACCUCAAUACUACAUAGUGGAGCAGCAAAUCAUAAACACAAGAGAUUCUUUCUAACAUCUGCACAAUCUCUUCUGUUCAGAUACUUUUAAAAUGCAUUUUUUCUUCUAUUCUCUGAAAGAUCGUAUAUGUCAUUGGCACAGCCUUCAGAUUCAGAGAUUUAUUAAUCACGUACAUCAGAACACAGUGAAUUUCAUCAUUUGUUUUAACAGCAUUACAAUUAAUUUUUUUUCUCUUUCACGUUUGCACGGUUUGCUGUCCUUUGCACAUUGGCUGUCUGUCCAUCCUGUCGGAUGUGGUCUUUCAUUGAUUCUAUUGUGUUUCUUGGAUUUACUGCGUACGCCCGCAAGAAAACAAAUCUUAGUGUUAUAUAUAAUGAUGCAUACUCUGAUAAUAAAUAGACUUUGAACUUUGAAGUUUGAAAUAGGAAAUAACUGUUUUUGAGUCUGGUGGUCCUGACGGAAGUGGGAUCCUUCCUGACAUUGCUUUCUGGAACAUUUCUGUAUCUACACUAUUUAUUAGGUAUAUCUGUACACCUGUACUCCUGAUCGUUAAUGCAAAUCUCUAAUCAGCCAAUCGUGGCAGCAACCCAAUGCAGAAAAGCAUGCAGACAUGGUCAGGAGGUUCUGUUUUUGUUCACGCCAAACAUCAGAAUGGGGGAGAAGUGUGCUCUAAGUGACUUUGACUAUGAACUGAUUGUUGGUUGCAACAGUGGUGUGUAGAAGAGCACCUUGAAGUGGAUGGGCUACAUUAUUACCAAAUAAAGUGGCACUGAGUGUAUGUCCUUGGUGGCGGAUAGGUUGGUGCCAGUGAUGCAUUGCGCAGUUUUAACUACCUGUUGUCGAGGCCUCCUGUCCACCGCAGUGAAGUCUUUGGGUGUGAUGCUAUAAAGUAGGCUCGUUGACUCUGUUACUGCUUCAGGAGAGGAGGAGAAAGCAGGCAACGUAAUUAAGUAGUCCUGAAGAAGGGUCUUGGCCCAAAACACCGACUGUUUACUCUUUUCCAUAGAUACUUCCUGACCUGCUGAGUUCCUCCAGCAUUUUGUGUGUGUUGUCAUAUAAUUGAAUGUUUUUGCUCAAUUAAGGAUUGCACCAUAACAGCCAUCACAGACAAGAUUCAGCUACACUGCCAGUUAUCCUCUACCCCCUGAGCUCUGUUAUGUCUACAAGCAAGAAUUCACAGCUAAUGCUGAAGAUAAUCCGCAUGAUGCCUUGCCUUACAUAGACUCAGUGGCCACUUUAUUAGGUACCUCCUAUGUGUGUUUGUAAUCUUCUGCCGCUGUUUCCCAUCCACUUCAAUGUUUGACAUGUGUGUUCAGAGAUGCUCUUCUGCGCAGCAUGAUUGUAACACAUAGUUGUUCGAGUUGCUGUUAUUUUUCUGUCAGUUUGAACCAGUCUGUCCAUUCUCCUCUGACCUCUCUCAUUAACAAGGCAUUUUCACCCACAGAACUGCUGCUCACUGGAUGUUUUGUUUUGUUUUUACACCAUUCUCUGUAAACUCUAGAGACUGUUCUGUGUGAAGAUCAGCAGUUUCUGAGAUACUCAAACCACACUGACAAUUAUUCCAUGGUCAAAGUCAUUUAGAUCAGAAUUCAGCUCCAUGGUGAUGCUUGGUCUAAACCACAACUGAACCUCUUGACCCUGCCUGCUUACUUUUAUGCAUUGAGUUGCUGCCACAUGAUUGGCUGAUUAGAUAUUUGCAUUUACAAGCAGGUUUUACAUCAAAAUAUGUAAAACAACAGCAAUAAAAGAUGAAACCACAGAAGCGGAAAGUUGUUUUUUUUUUAAUUUUAAUAGAUUAAUUAAAAGUAUGGUAAACUUUUUCCUUAGAUGUAAUACGAUCCUUACUUAUGUUUGGAGGACACCGGGUCAUGUCUAAAAGGGAUGAAUAUUUGUUACAAAUCAUAUCUUGGAAAUGUGUCUUCCUCUACGUUGGUGAGACCCAAAGUAUUUUAGGGGAUUGCUUUGUCGAGCACCUCUGCUCCAUCUGCAAAAAUGCAGAGUUUCAUGGUGGCCAAAUAUUUUAAUUCCUAUUGCCAAUCCCGUUCCGACACAUAGGCCCAUAGCCUCCUCUUCUAGCAUGAUGAGGCCACUUUCUGGUUGGAGGAGCAACAUCUCAUUUUCCGUCCAGGUUGCCUCCAAACUGAUGACAUAAAUAUUGAUUUCUCCAACUUCUGGUAAUUUUUCCCUCCCCCUUCCCUCUUCUUCCAUUGCCCACUCUAGCCUCUUACCUCUUCUCCUCACCUGCCCACCACCUCUUCCUAGUGCCCUUCCUCCUUCCCUUUCUCCCAUGGGCCACUCUCCUCUCCUAUCCAAUUCCUUCUUUUCCAUCCUUUUACCUUUUCCACCUAACAUAACCCAUAACUGAGUGCUUCCUCCCUCACCCAUCUAGCUCCAACCCUUCCCCUCCCCCUACCUCCUUAUUCUGGCAUCUUCUUGCUUCCUUUCCAGUCCUGACCAACGGACUCAGCCCAAAACGUCAACGGUUUCUUUAUUUUCAUAGAUGCUGCCUGCCCUGCUGAGAUCCAACAUUUUAUGUGCAUUGCUCUGGAUUUCCAGCAACUGCAGAACCCCAUGUGUUUUUUCAUCUUUAAAGUUUAUUUUAAGAUAGAUUAUAUUUUUAAAAUUUUAGCUUAACCUGCAGGAUUGAGACUUAUUUGCAGAGCCAUUGUGAAUGAGAGUCCCACCCUCUGACCUCACAUUGAUACGGGCUCAUGUACAUAUCUCCCCACUGCCCUACAAGCAGCUUGUAGGGACAGGAUUUUCCGAGGGCUCUUUCAGCAACUGAUGCCUGCCUCAUUGAGGCCUGGAGCCCGUGGAAAUGCAACCCAAGAGUUGGCUUUUAAAAGAUGUUUGGAUAGGAACAUGAAUAUGAGGAAGAUGGAUGGAUAUGGACAUUUUGUAGGUAGGAGGAAUUAGUUUUUGGGUGUUUCUGACUUACUUUUUGUAUGGUUUGGCACAACAUUGUGGGCUGAAUGGUCUGUUUCCACACUGUACUGUUCUAUGUUCUAUUCAAAAUUGUUUAUUGUCUUUCAACAGUUCACAAAAGGAGAACAAAAUGAUUAUUACUCCAGAUCCAAUGCAGCACAAAAAAACACAAACAAUUUAAGUACAUUAGAUGGCUUAUAUAAAUAGAUUGAUUGUAUGUCCGGAAAAUGAUGUUCGGCGCAGAAGUGUCUGUACAAAGGAUCUAUCUUUUGCCCAUAACGCUGCUGCUGUUUAUAACAGCAAUGUAGGUCCACCAUUUCUGGUUUCCUUCAUCCAUAACAGCAUAAGACCAUAAGACAUAGGAGCAGAAUUAGGCCAUUCAGCCCAUUGAGUAUGUUCCACCAUUCCAGCAUGGCUGACCCUGGAUCCCACUCAACCCCAUACACCUGCCUUCUCGCCAUAUCAUUUGAUGCCCUGACCAAUCAGGAAAUGAUCAACUUCUGCCUUAAAUAUACCCCGGAUUUGGCCUCGACUGCAGUCUGUGGCAGAGCAUUUCACAGAUUCACUACUCUCUGGCUAAAAGAUUUCUUCCUUACCUCUGUUCUAAAAGGUUGCCCCUCAAGUUUGAGACUGGGCCCUUUAGUUCUGGAUGCCCCCACCAGGGGAAACAUCCACCCUAUCUAGUCCUUUCAGCAUUGAGAAGGUUUCAAUGAGAUCCAUAUUCCAGUGAGUACAGGUCCAAUGCUGCUAAAUGCUCUCCCUAUGUUAACCCCUUCAUUCCUGGAAUCAUCCUCGUGAAUCUCCUCUGGAUUCUCUCAUCGUGUCAGUUGCUUCCUGUGCAUAAGGUACACCAGCUGUCAGGAAAUGAUGAAGCAGUGGUGCUUGGGGGUGUGGAGGGGUGGGUUAGUGGGUGGAGGUGUUGAUCAGCCUUACUGCUUGGGGAAAGUAAAUGUAUUUGAGUCUGGUGGUCUUAACAUGGGAGGGUGGGAUCUUUUAUGGUAUCAUUGGCCUUUUCCCGGCAUCAUAUGUCCUUGAUGGAAGGUAGACUGAUGCCAGUGAUGUGUUGGGAAUUUCCUGUCCACUCCAGGGCAGUUUCUGUACCACACAGUGAUGCAGCUUGUUGUGUUCAACUUCUCCCUCAGAGAAAAUUUUGAUUUGAAAUGAUAAUCUGAUUUCCAGACACACAACACACAGUACAUUCCUGAUUACAUAACUAAUCUUUAUUUUCUUUCCACAUGAACUGGAGCAAGUCUGUACACAGUCACUUAAUGAAUCCGGGCAAAAGCAAUAAUGCCUGUGGAACACAUCUACAAGUUUUGAUGUUUCGAUGUACGUCUGACAAAUAACACUAAUCUUUCUUGAACACAAGAGAUUCUGCAGAUGCAAAACACUCAAAAUGUUGGAAGAACUCAGCAGGUCAGACAGUAUUUAUGGAAAUGAAUGAACAUUCGAAGUUUCAGACCGAGACCCUUUGUCGUGACUGUGAACAAAGUCACCAGAGAAACACAGCUAGAAGAUAUAAAAGUGUUUUAUUCAAGACACACACUAGCUGACAGCCUUUGGAGUCACUUGACAGAUCCAAUAUUAUAGCACAUUUUUAUCCAUUAAAGAACAAAGGUAAUAAGACAAUUUCUACAGUUACAAUGCCCUCAUGAUGCUUGUUUGAGUUACAUGUAAUUCGAAUAUCCGUGGAUCUUCUCACCAACACACCCAGAAUGAGUGUUAAUUACUAUGGUCUCCAUUCAUGCAUUGGUGUGUCGAUUGCAUUCAUGCAUAUGCAGAAAUCGCAGGUCAAUUGGAUGUUUGCAAUUUACUCUAAAAUGCAGCUCCUGGAAGACCAUUGUUCUGAGCUGCAUCUUGAAUUCAAUCUACAAUAUACAUUCAGAUCUGAAGACUGGUUGCUGUUAAAAUUAAUAUUUGCUAUAUUGCCUAUCUCCAGAAUAUGCCCUAACACCUUUCAACUCUUUUCCCAGCAAUUUUUAUUUUUAUUUCAGCAUCAGCAGUUGGAAAAAAUCCACAUCAUUUUGCACUGAUCAAGGACUUCAUUUUGCCUUUGUAUCAGAAAUUCUAAUUUUAUAUCAGCAUGCAUUUACCCUAGUAUUUAACGACUCCCAAAUGGUGACGAACAAUUUUUAUAAACUUCUAUCCAUUAUUGUAAUUGCCUGCAUGAUUAUCUCCUGCAAGUGAAAAGCAUGUAUUGUUGUAUUACAUUUGGAGCCUCCAAGGGUCUGUUCUAUUUCAACAUAAAUCACUCACCAUUAGUGUCUUUGUGAGAAGCUGCCCUAUAAUGGGAAUGAUGCCAGACUGCUUUAGCAAUGAAUCCAUUACACAAAUCUAUUAUUAUUGGAUUAAACUGUUCAAAAUUGCAUUUUUUUCCAAACACAAAGAAUAUGUGCCCUGCAUAUGCUUUCUCAUAAUGAUUGAGUUUCAUAGCCAAGUGUUCUGCCUCUGGCAUAUGUGCUCGACAUCAUAUUUGUUUGUUGUCUCACCAUAACACAAGCAAAAAUGCAUAGCAUAACACGUAGAUGUGGCAUGCUGCUUUGUACCUGUCUCCACUGCUGUUCAUCAAAGUGCUAAUGUCAUGCAGUCCUCUGCAGACAAGGUCUCUCUCCGCCUGGCUGCAUCAACAAGUUACAGUCUGUAGGUCAGUUGUGGACAAGCUAUUAAGACCAUUAGCAAUAAAUUAUGCACUGCUCAUGAUUUUUGUCUUGGAGUUUUAUUCCUCUCUUCUUGCGACUUGAUGUGGAAGAAUUGAUGGUCAGUUAUAGAUUUCUCCAUUCCUCAUUCUGGCUCUCCUCUUAUCCCUUCUCUUCUCCUCAUCUCCCUCUGGUGUCUCUCCUCUUUCCCUUUUUCCCCAUGGUCCACUCUCUGCUCCCAUCAGAUUCCUUCUUCUUCAGCCCUUUACCUUUACCUCCUAUCACCUCCCAGCUUCUCUCUUCAUCCCCCUUCCCCCACCCACCUACCUUUCCCUUCACCUGGCUUCAUCUGUCACCUUCAGCUUUAUUCCUCCCCACCCCCACCUUCUUAUUCUGGCUUCUGCCCCCUUCCUUUCUAGUCCCGGUGCAGGGUAUCAGCCCAAAACAUUGACUGUUUAUUCCUCUCCACAGAUGCUGCCUGGCCCGCUGAGUUCCUCAAGCAUUUUGUGAGCAUUGCUCUGGAUUUCCAGCAUCUGCAUAAUCUCUUGUGUUUAUAGUCAGUUAUAGAACUUCAUUCUUUCCUUCCAGAUUGCCGAAACCCAAAUUUGCUCUAUAACUCCGGCAUCAAACGAACUGAGGCUUUAAUUUUGAUCUCAAGUCAGUGAUUGCUUUCUAGCCAGCAGCAAACAUCACAAUGAGCACCUCCAUGAAAGAGUCAUUCAUUUAGUCCAAGUUCUUCCCCUGUAGCCAUCUUUGUUUUGUAUACCAUAGCAUGCUGUUGUACGCUGCAUUUUGAUGUUCCACACAUAUGCCAGUCUGUGUAGUCUUUGUGUACAGUUUUUCAUUGAUUCUGUUGUAUUUCUUUGUUCUGCUGUGAAUGCUUGCAGGGAAAUGCAAAAAAGGACGUCCAUUUAGAACAGAGGUGAGGAAGAAUUUAUUUAUUGUUAUUUGGAGAUACAGCACAGAACAGACCCUUCCUGUCCAACAAGCUGCACAGUCCAGCAACCCACCUAUUUAACCCCGGCCUAAUCACAAGACAAUUUACAACGACCAAUUAACCUUCUAACUUUGGACUGUGGAAGGGAAACUUCCACGUGUAGAGCGUAUAAACUUUCUUACAGAGGACGUUGGAAUUGAACUCAUGCCCUGGGCUGUAAUAGCAUUACAUUAACUUCUGUGCUACCCUGGCACCAAAUUUUUUUAGCAAGAGGGUGGUGAAUCUGUGGAAUUCAUUGCUACAGAUGGCUGAGGAUAUGUUCUUGGUUCGUAAGUUCAUUGGAGGUUAUGGGGAGAAGGCAGGAAAAUGGGAUUUAGUGGGAUAAUAAAUCAGCCAUGGAAUGGCAGAGCAAACUCAAUGGGCAGAAGAGUCUAAAUCUUCUCCUAUGCCGUAUGGUCAUAUGGUCUUAUGGAAACAAAUCUCAGGGUUGUAUAUGGUGACGUAUAAGUAACUUGAUAAUGAAUUUACUUUGAACUUUGAACU